CUUAGUAAACAACAUAAAUAGAGAUUCCAAGUAGUAGACACACAAAUGAUUCAGACCAGGAGUGAUCUAACCACAUAAACCUGGGAUCGUCAGAACCAUCUGUGACGUGCCUCAAAAUGUCCCUAAGAGGCACACUUAAAAAGGUACGGUAGUAAUUCGAGGCAACUAACAUUACAGUGAUCCAACUCAAAAGGUACGGUAGUAAUUCGAGGCAACUAGCAUCACAGUGAUCCAACUCUCGGUGCUUUCUCCUUCAAACAAAUACAUAAUAGUAACACAUACAACAUGACUUUGUUAAUUAUGCAUCACUUUCAUGUCAGAUUCAUGCCAUUUAGAUUUGCAGAGUGCGACCAGCUGACAGGUGGAUAUGCAGGUUGAACAUGCUGACCAGAGUUGUUGCAGGUGCCAACGCUCUGAUUUGUGGGGCUCCCGGGAUCCUCAGAAGAUUCACUUGAUGUCCCUUCAG
rnacentral:lncRNA from 1 species